UCGAACGAAGCACAGAUGUAGAAUUUCUUCGGAAAGGAAGCGCCUGUGACUGAGUGGCGGACGGGUGAGUAACGCGUGGGCAACCUGCCCCAUACCGGGGGACAACAGCUGGAAACGGCUGCUAAUACCGCAUACGUUUUCGGUGCCGCAUGGCGCCGAAAAGAAAACUCCGGUGGUAUGGGAUGGGCCCGCGUCUGAUUAGCUAGUUGGGAGGGUAACGGCCUACCAAGGCGACGAUCAGUAGCCGGCCUGAGAGGGCGACCGGCCACAUUGGGACUGAGACACGGCCCUGACUCCUGCGGGAGGCAUCAGUGGGAGAAUAUUGCACAAUGGGGGAAACCCUGAUGCACCGACCGCCGCCGUGAGUCAAAAAAAUGCCUCGGUAUGUAAAGCUCUAUCAGCAGGGAAGAAAGUGACAGUACCUGACUAAGAAGCCCCGGCUAACUACGUGCCAGCAGCCGCGGUAAUACGUAGGGGGCAAGCGUUAUCCGGAUUCACUGGGCGUAAAGGGAGCGCAGGCGGCGCGGCAAGUCUGAUGUGAAAGCCCGGGGCUCAACCCCGGGUCUGCAUUGGAAACUGUCGAGCUGGAGUGUCGGAGGGGUAAGCGGAAUUCCUAGUGUAGCGGUGAAAUGCGUAGAUAUUAGGAAAAACACC
rnacentral:rRNA from 1 species